AAAGGAAUUGACGGGCACCCGCACAAGCGGUGGAGCAUGCUGUUUAAUUCGAUGAUACGCGAAGAACCUUACCAGGGCUUGACAUCCCCCUGACCGGUCUGGAAACAGAUCUUUCUCCUUCGGGAGACAGGGGUGACAGGUGGUGCAUGGUUGUCGUCAGCUCGUGUCGUGAGAUGUUUGGUUAAGUCCAAUAACGAGCGCAACCCUUGUCCUUAGUUGCUAACAUUAAGUUGAGAACCCUAGGGAUACUGCCGGUGACAAACCGGAGGAAGGUGGGGAUGACGUCAAAUCAUCAUGCCCCUUACGUCCUGGGCUACAGGCGUGCUACAAUGGCCGGUAUAGAAAGAAGCAAUAUCGUAAGAUGGAGCAAAUCUCCAAAGCCGGUCCCAGUUCGGAUUGAGGUCUGCAACUCGACCUCAUGAAGUUGGAAUCGCUAGUAAUGGCAAAUCAGAAUGUUGCCGUGAAUACGUUCCCGGGUGUUGCACACACCGCCCGU
rnacentral:rRNA from 1 species